rnacentral:tRNA from 1 species
GGAGAGGUCGCAUAGUGGUCUAGUGCGAUAGUCUUGAAAACUAUUAAGAGCGCAAGCUCUUCGCGAGUUCGACUCUCGCCCUCUCCG